rnacentral:rRNA from 1 species
UGCCAAAUUCUAGCCCAAUAUACCUGACCUGGAAUAACAAAGCCACUACCUAAAUUAUAACUAAAGCAUUUACUAGUCUUAGUAUAGGCGAUAGAAAAGACACCAUUGGAGCGAUAGAGAUUACGUACCGUAAGGGAAAGAUGAAAUAACAGUGAAUAAAAUAAGCUAAAAACAGCAAAGAUCAGCCCUUGUACCUUUUGCAUCAUGGUCUAGCAAGAAAAACCAAGCAAAAUGAAUUUAAGUUUGCCAUCCCGAAACCCAAGCGAGCUACUUGCGAGCAGCUAAUUUGAGCGAACCCGUCUCUGUUGCAAAAGAGUGGGACGACUUGCUAGUAGAGGUGAAAAGCCAACCGAGCUGGGUGAUAGCUGGUUGCCUGUGAAACGAAUCUAAGUUCACUCUUAAUUCUUCUCUAAGGAAAACCGAUAAAACCCUAAUGAAGCGAAUUAAGGGCAAUUUAAAGGAGGUACAGCUCCUUUAAAAAAGAGUACAAUCUCCACGAGCGGAUAAACAACCAUGACCAAAACUUACUGUGGGCCCUCAAGCAGCCAUCAACAAAGAGUGCGUUAAAGCUCUAAACAUCAAAAAUCCAAAAACAUAGUGACUCCCUCACCAUUAACAGGCUAACCUAUCAACAUAUAGGAGAAUUAAUGCUAGAAUGAGUAACCUGGGUACUUCCCUCUUCGACGCAAGUUUACAUCAGUACAUUAUUAACAAGUCCCCAUAUACGACAAAUCAAACAAGCACAGUAUUAAUCAUCUUGUUGACCCGACAGAGGAGCGUCCAUUAAGAAAGAUUAAAACCUGUAAAAGGAACUAGGCAAACCCGUCAAGGCCCGACUGUUUACCAAAAACAUAGCCUUCAGCAAACCAAUAGACAAGUAUUGAAGGUGAUGCCUGCCCAGUGACUCUAGCGUUUAACGGCCGCGGUAUCCUAACCGUGCAAAGGUAGCGCAAUCAAUUGUCCCAUAAAUCGGGACUUGUAUGAAUGGCUAAACGAGGUCUUAACUGUCUCUUACAGGAAAUCGGUGAAAUUGAUCUCCCUGUGCAAAAGCAGGGAUAAACCCAUAAGACGAGAAGACCCUGUGGAACUUUAAAAACAGCGGCCACCCCAAAAUACCUUUUUCCCCCACCUCGGGCUUACUAACUCACGGGUGACUGGCUCGCAUUUUUUCGGUUGGGGCGACCUUGGAGCAAAACAAAACCUCCAAACACUAGACCACACAUCUAGACCAAGAGCUACAACUCGACGUGCAAAUAGCACCCAGACCCAAUAAAAUUGAUCAAUGGACCAAGCUACCCCAGGGAUAACAGCGCAAUCUCCUCCAAGAGCCCAUAUCGACGGGGAGGUUUACGACCUCGAUGUUGGAUCAGGACAUCCUAGUGGUGCAGCCGCUACUAAGGGUUCGUUUGUUCAACGAUUAACAGUCCUACGUGAUCUGAGUUCAGACCGGAGCAAUCCAGGUCGGUUUCUAUCUAUGAUGAACUCUUCCCAGUACGAAAGGAUAGGAAAAGUAAGGCCAAUACUACAGGCAAGCCUUCGCUUUAAGUGGUGAAACCAACUAAACCACAAAAGGCUAUCAGACACCCACCCAAAUCCUAGAAAAGGACCA